rnacentral:rRNA from 1 species
AACGAACGCUGGCGGCAUGCCUAACACAUGCAAGUCGAACGAGACCUUCGGGUCUAGUGGCGCACGGGUGCGUAACGCGUGGGAACCUGCCUUUAGGUUCGGAAUAACUCAGAGAAAUUUGAGCUAAUACCGGAUAAUGUCUUCGGACCAAAGAUUUAUCGCCUUUAGAUGGGCCCGCGUUGGAUUAGCUAGUUGGUGGGUAAAGGCCUACCAAGGCGACGAUCCAUAGCUGGUCUGAGAGGAUGAUCAGCCACACUGGGACUGAGACACGGCCCAGACUCCUACGGGAGCAGCAGUGGGGAAUAUUGGACAAUGGGCGAAAGCCUGAUCCAGCAAUGCCGCGUGAGUGAUGAAGGCCUUAGGGUUGUAAAGG